rnacentral:lncRNA from 1 species
UUUGAGACAGGUAGACUAGUUUCUAGCUUUGAGUGCACCAAGGACAAGCGAGUGAUCUAAAUGCAUGAUCCAAACCGAGUAGUUGAGGCAAGUCCAGAAAUCACUGGAGAUAUGAGGUGGGGUUGGGGAGAAAGAAGGUGGUUGGUUAGCUUUUGGAGCUCUUCCUGGCUCUGUUAGCUCUCAAAGGUGGUGGUUGGUGGUUGUUGAGGUUAGAACUUAGAAGAAGGCCUUUGGGUGUGUGGCCGCUGAACUGCUGGUAACAGGCAAUACAGAGAUGCAGAGAGGGCAUUUAGAGACGCAUCUUUGUAGACAACACUGGGAAAUGGCAUUGGUUCUUUGCCCAUGGAAGAGGAAUAUCUGACCUAAAUGAAGGCAGGCAGAUGAAGCCUCCAGGAUUCGGACCGACGCUUGCCCUCAGAAUGGUGAUGAUAACCUGCUUAUUUCAGACGAGUGUCUUCCUUUUUGUCUUGAAAAAAGUCAUCAAAGUGGUAGCCUGGUGGUAAGAAAGCUUGGACUCCAACUGAGUUAUCCAAAUUCGAAACGUGCAGGCGUCGAUUAAAUCAGAGAAUUGCAUGCCUCACGCUCGGAUGGCUCUGUGUGGAUAUACUUUCCUUCUAUCAGUACUGAGGUGGCGCUGGAGUGACGUACUCACAUAUGGAUGGCCCAGCUGGAAUUUUUCACGGGUUAAAGAGAGCACGAGGAAACUUGCAACCCAUGUCGAACAUUCCUUGGAAGAAGGAGGGCUGCUACGCGGGUGGGGUCCCCCCUCCUAGUUUUUACCAAAAAAAAAAAAAAAGAAGACGAAUCACAGGACCAGAGCUUGCACCUACUUUAAGCGAGCUGAGUAGCUGAAAACUAUGGAUCGUAGCCUGUCCAUAAAACCUACUAUUGAUAUUGAGAACGAGAAAAAGAAUUGGCUUGAGAUGGACUACUUAUCCAUCAAAAUGUCCCUAGUGAUAGUAAGGACAAAAGUGAAGUAUGAGACAAAUAUAUCAAACUUAGUUACUAUAUCUGAUAUAAGUGUGGAGGAGAAGCAGCCGAGCUCAUUCCCUUCGCUUCCUGGGCCCAAAGCAGUGCUUUGUUUCCUGGCCAAAUCAAGGAUUUGGGGCUUCUUGCAAAAUAUAUAUGAAUAGAAAGAUAGAUCCAUCCAUCUAUCCGGAUAUUUUACGCGGAUCGGCGGUUUCGGAGACCGAACUGCCCUAGCUCCAGAAGAGGUUAGCCGUAGGAGAUUCAAACCUUGACCUUCUCUUUUCUUUAUGAAGCUAGGAGAAAUUAGCCCUGUUUCCGCUGUUCUAGAGUCGGUAGCUUUAAUUGCUCGUGUUGAAUCAGCCGGGAGUGACAAACUCUCCCUAUGCUUAAUCUCUUCAAUAAUUGCAGACACCCUAUCUUUAGGUUUCAGUUUCAUUCACUCUUUUCCAUCUCGGCCUAUAAAACUAGUGCCUCCUUUCACAUUCGUAAAAGUCGGGGUUCUCAAAUGGCGAAGCCUUACUUUGCCUCCUUUCACCAAGGUGAAAGAAGGGGUUCUCAAACGGCGAAGCCUUAUACCAGUCGUGCUUCCGACGAAGUUUCUCCCGUAGAAGACAGCUUAUAAACAAAUAAAUAAAUUUCUAUAGCUAACAAGGCAGAAGUGUUAGUGAGCCUUUGGAAAUUUUGCUCUCCUUAUUUGAAUAAAUUUUGUCCAAAAGUAUAUCCAAAUCCUCAUUACUUAAACAUGCUCUAACAUGAUAUGUAUUGCCUGACAAAAGUUAUUGCUCUAUAUAGUCUUGAGAUGUGUCUUGAUUCUAGAUUAAGUUAGCCCGGGUGGCGGAAUAAGGAGCUAUUUUAUGAAAUAUAUUUAUUUCUUACGGCAUAAUUUUAUUUGGCUCAAUGUGAGAGAGGAUUAGGUUUGAAUACAGAAAAGCUUGAGUAACUCAAAUAAAUAACUCAGCCAAUGUGGUGUAUUCUCACUAUUCCCUUUGAAUUGGGAUCUUAGAGUGUGCUAUUUAAUGAAGCAAAAUGAAUGUACAAAACAUCUGGGUAACUUUUCUGAAUGAUUUUUUUGAGUUCAUUCUUACAAAAGGACGAGUUUUUUUUUUCCUAAUUUAACUACUAAUUCUCUACAACCAAUUGGCAUACAUCAAACAACAAUCGAACAUGACCUAAGGCUAGCACAAUUUUAGAGAUCAUUUGGUACCAUUGCACCAAUAACAAUAUAGAACGCUCUUUUGGUACCAUAAUAGGGUUUGUAAAUGCAGUCUUUCUCCAAGAGGGUCUACAACCAUACAACAAAAAUUUAUUGAAGCAGAUAAUUCUUAUUAUCUAAAACUUUGAUAUAGUUUUGAUUGAAGACUUCUAUUUAAUAUUUGACCAAAUUAUUUAUUCAGUUUUGACAGAUGAUUGGAAAUCUUUAGGAUCUGCACUACCAAGAUUAGCAUUUGUUUCAUGAAAUAGUUUUUUUUCAUAAGACCAAAUUGCCCCCUUACAUUUUCAGUGUUUGUUAAGAGUAAAAUGAUAACUGAAACGGAAUAAGAACAAGCCUAUUUUCUAGUAUAAGAUGGGAUAUCUCCCACAAGGAAUAAGACACAACUUCUUGAAGUUUGGCAAGAUUUUGAGAGGAUAUCCCCUUACUUGGGGAUAUCUUCCACUUAUUCCGUAAUCAAAUAAAGAAAAAGAAAAGUUCCAAUACGGCAGAACGUACUCAAGACCCCAAUCAAACACGAACAUCAUAGAUUAUAGCACCUUGGUACCAAAUAUCUCAUCCGGUUCCACUCUUACCUCUUGCCUUCGUCCAGUUGCGCACUUCUGCCUUCUUCUUUCCUUCUGAGCAACAGAAACAUCCAAGCAACGUCUGCUUUAGCUUCACGAAGAAUUCCUUCCCAUCAACAAAGAAUGCAAUAAAACAUCAGAAACUUAUCGGUGCAUGCUGGAAUGCAAUACAACACGUAAUACAAAUGGAUUGGUCACAACAAUUCAACCCCUGAAGCACAACAGAAUGGAACCAUCGCAUGUAAAAUAGUGACACUGAAAGUUUUAAUCAAAAAGAACCGCAAAAAAUUUCAGGCAACCUUUAAUAACGUUUUCUGUACAAUGUUAUCUUUACACGACAGCCGUCCGAAAAAAUCCUAGUUGCUGGCAGAACAGGACAGAACAUUGCAUCAGAAGAUGAUUAAAACCAACCCUAACUACUAAAAACGGAGAAUACAGAGGUAUCUACUUAAUUACACUGACCUAUAUACACAAGAAACUUUUAGCGUGCAUUUGGAGUUUGGCGAUCAUACCAUCAUCAAUUCAUCAUCCCUUUGAUACAUAUGCAUUCAUAAGGGGCCCAGGUUGUACCAAAUACCAAAAACUUACUGAAUAAGCAAACUACUUGCCUAGUUGCCAAAAAUGUUCACGUGGUAAAAAUUAAAAAACCUUUGCUCCAAGGAAAAAUAGUUUGGCCGAUUGGUAUUACUUGCCAAGUUGUUGAAAAUGUUCAUAUUGUGAAAAACUGCUCCUCAAACCUUUAAUUGCUUGGCUCCAAGAUUAGUUUGGUGCAUGUCAGCCAUUGCACACAGCCUUGAAGUGAUAUUUGUCUAUAGUAGAAUAGAUGUGGCCCACAUCGACAUGGUUAUUAAGUACAUCCCUAGUACAUAGGAGCAAGGUAAAUGUCCAUAAUACAUAGAUGUACACACACACACACACACACACACACACACACACAUAUAUCUCUCUCUCUGUGUGUGUGUGCGCGCGCGCAUGCGGGUGAGAGAGAGAGAGAGAGAGAGAGGUAUGACAUCAUGUUUUCGAAUCCCAGUAUACUAAAGCAUUUAUCUAGAGUAAUGCAAAAAAAAGGGGUCUUGAAAUGGCUCUUUGACUGAUAUUAUACAUGAUAAGUUAAAAAAUAAAAAAUAGACAUAUAAAUAAAAAAGGAAAGAGAAAAAAGAAAAAGAUAGAAGGAAGAUGCAUUAAUUUAUCUUAGAUGGAAUAACUCCAUAAACUAUUAAGUGCAUGAAGGUAGUUCCAAACUGGUGGGCCUUUAGCAAGCGACAGAUAAACAUCAAUGUUCAAGAAAUAGACUUUUACCUUAAGUUUACAUAAUUGAUAUAAUUAUAUGGAUAAAUGCAACUGCUUAGUGUUAAUAUAAUUUACUUCCUUAUCCCAGAUGCCACAAUGCACUAACAAACAAAAACUUGAAGACUGCACUAACCAUACUAAAUAAAAGAAGAAUCAAGUCUUUAGAAAUGCUAAAAUAUUAUAGAUAACAGGCAGGAGAGCAGGUCAACCAUAUGUGGGAACUCAAACAGCACUAAAGACAAGCAUUGUCUCAUCGACAUAGGAUUGACAACCUAAAGGGAGGUUCACUAUAGGAAAAGAAGAUAAAAUUAAAAGACCAAGCACAUUUGUGUAGCAGGUAUUAUCCUUCAACAAACACGCAUGCAUGCUUGCUUGUAUACUUAUAUGUAUCUGUGAAUAUGUGUAUGUAUGCAUAUAUUAGAUGGUUCCUGGAAAACUCCCAGAACCAAGUUGUACAUGUCAUUUCCAGAUUUAUCCAUGCUCACAUAAGCUAAAGACUAGUAGGAAAGACCGAAAUUGCAGAUUAUCAACCAAUUGUCCAUAUAACAUAGCUCUUUUUUGAUUCUAAAUAGGCAACUUAGCUCACACAGUCACCAUGAAGAGGGAAGAGAAAGAAACAAAUUCCAUGGUUGCUUUAGUUGAUUUGUACGAAGAGCAUGCUCUCCUUUUACUCCAUUAGAAAAAGUGGUUCCCAUGAUUGGAUUUGUCUGGAUUUCAGCUGGAACUCCUUUCUGUACCUUAAAAGGAAAAAACAAAAGAAACACGAGCUUAUUAAUUUUUUACACUGUUUGCACAUAUAAAAAUGCAAGGGCAAUUUAUGUACAGAUAUAUAAAGCACCUCUCUACAUGCAAGUACCUUCACUCCAGCGUUUUUGACAUGUACAUAUAUGCAUUCAAUGAAGUGGAGUCAGUCACAGACCUGAAAAAACAGAUGUACCAUACUUUUCAAAGAAUUGGGUCAACAAAACAUAUAUGGUAUAUCUCCGAGAAAGAAAUUGGGCCAAAAAAACAGAUAUGAUAUUAAGGUUCUAAAGAUUGCAAUAACCAAUUGCUCCACAUCAUACAAAGCACAAUGUCCGAAUUGACUGGCUGUUCCAACUUGGUUGAUUAGGUGAAUAUUUAGUCACUGAGGCUUAGGCAUGUCCACAGAAAGGAAGAUUUUUUGAAAAUAUUAGUCCAAGACAAUGUAUAUGUGGCAUAACCCCACAAUGGAAACAUGCUAUGAUGCCACAGUGAACAAUGAUGAAAUAACAGUUCGUGAGUCCUUUUGACCUAGUCAGGCUAAUGUGGAAUAUUUAUAAAAAAAAAAGAAUGCAGGCCCUAGAGCAGGGGUAAAACUCUAGCAAAUUCAGAUAAAUAACAUUUAUUUAGAUUUUACAAGAUUCAAAAAUUCUCAUACCUGGAUAACAUAGACAAUUCUGAAGAUCUGCAAUGUUUAAAUUCCAGUAAAAUAGUUGUAUACUCAUAUUCUCAGCCCAGAACAGUAUAAUUUUGAAAAUUUCUGCAAAAAUUUCUGGCAAUCAACUAGAACAAUCUUCCUCAGGCUGCAUAAAAGCAAUCUAUUGCUCUUGAAGUAUCAAACUGGUGUUUGAACUUUUAAGGGUAAAUUCUUCCUAGUUAACCAAAUUUAUUUCUAUUGCCAGAGGAAAAUAAUAUGACUGACAGGGAUCCAUGUUUUUCUAAGUGAUAUUUGGUCCUUAUAUAUAGUUCAAUACACACUUGAAGCCACAAGAAAUCUUCUUCAGGGGAAACCAGAACAUUGACACAGAUCUAAUGUAGAGAGUUUCAUAUUCUGUCACACUGCAUGAAUCUUGCAAGAAUAUAAUUUUGAUCAGUAUAGAACUUGCAAGAACAUAAUUUUUAUCAGAUGGAAACAAAGAAGUAUCUUUAUGUUUGUCCCAUAUAGAAUCAUUAACCAACGUCACUUUUUUCACAGCAUUGUAGCAUCAUGGAGCAUAACUUCAACACAUAAAGAUAUUGGAUCAUAGUAGCAUUCCUCAUCUAUCAGAAUUACUCCUUUUCACAGUAAACAAAUAGCUCUUAUCCUUCUGAAUUAGUGUUCGCACACUUCCCGCCGAUUGAUCAUAACAAUUUCUAAGAUACAGACUAGCACAUUACAAUGUUAAUAUUUGGCUGAAGUACAUAGUUUGUUUUAUUUAAAAUUUUAGCAUAGGAUGGGAACAAGAAAUGAUUUCUUCAGGUUUGAAGAAAUAAUUUUCCCGGGAAUGCUAAUAGGGAAUGAACAAUGGAACAUUAAAAAUCAACAGAGUCUUGAUAAAAAUAAAUUAUUGAAUAAUUGUUAAAUGAUAAUGUCCACACAAAAUUAACCGAUCUGUUAAUAAAUGUUUGACAUAACAUGAGUAAUUGAAUGAAAGAUAUUUUUCUCUAAGUUCACUCUGUCAUAGUUCUUAUUGCUGUUGCUGCUGCUUUUGGUGCUGAAUUACCAUCGAUCCGGUCAUCUUGGUCUAGAGCUUGAAAACAUGAAAUUAGUUUAAAAGCCACUAAUAAUACAUUCCAGAUGUGGCUAUCAUGAGCUCUUCAGACUUCCUCAACAUUGUCAGUUCUACACAUAAAGCUAAAAAGUCAUGAAAGUUAUUUACAGUCAGCAGCCAACUUCAUAAUUUCCUAUUCAAGUUUAUUUCUAAAAUAUAAAUCCCUAUGACCUUCCACACUUUAACAUUUAAACAACAUUAAUGGAAGAAUAUGUGCUAAUGCCAUCAAGUAAUGAACAGACACAUAAGAUCUGAAGUCGAUGCCAAAUUAUAAGGUGUUAAGCUAAUUCCCUACUCACAUCAAACUGGCUCCUGAAAAAACAAGGUUUGCCUCACCAAUCAUGCCUGAAGGAGGCACUCGGGCCACAUUUAGAAAGGAUGAUAGUUGGGACAUAUCUAGUGCCAAAUCUAUGCUUCUUACUGAAAUUUGCGCACCAAAAUAACAAGUAAAAAAGUACUCAAUGAAAUUUUCUUUAGAGCAAGAGCUUUGAACAGAAUGAAGAAGAUAAUUUUCAAGUGAACAAAACAGGUUUUAGCCACGCCACCUGACACGCCUUAAUUGAAAUUAAAAAAAAAUCGUAAGGUACUAAACUGCAUAUUAAUUGAAAGAAAUAAGUUAAACUGGAACAUUAUACUCCCCAAAAAAAUUUCUAAUUAGGGAAACAUCAACUUGAGAGUAACUUUCCAACCUAAACUAAAGAAACAAAAAAGCAGGAAAACAAAAAAAUCAAACUUUUUACCUGACAGAGAAGGCACGUCUUUUGCCCUGAAACCCUUCAAAUGAGCAUUGACUCGAACAUAUAUCUCAUCUCUUUAUUAUUGCUCAAAGAAAACCCAAACAGCGCAAAUCCAUCAAAGCACGAUCAAGAAAGUAGAUAUCGGGAACCAAUCAAUUAAAAGCACCAAUCAACAACGCUUACUAGACAGCAACCACUUCAUUCGCAUCUGAGAUUUCAUUUACCCUACGCAAUUGGUUGAAUGAGGGAUGCAUACCAGUGAGCAUUCGACGGAGAACGAUGAAGCAAACAACAGAUUUUAUCAGGCGAAAGGUUUUCUCACCAUCUAUUUAUGUCAAUCCGCCCCAUGCCGUCGUCAAGGGCGAAGGAGGUGUCGCCCAACCUGCAGCAGCUCGACCUGCACCAAGAGCAAAAAAAAAGGAGAUUAGGGUUAGGGUCAAGGAUUUCCGAGAAGAAAGAAGCGGGGAGGAGAGAAUGCCGUUACGCCGGCGAUUUCUGAGCUAUUGACGGUGAGGGUGGACUUGUCGUCUCUGGCAUGGUAGGCUUCGGCGCUCCGCUUCACGGUUACCGGGAGGGCGCCUGGGAGGCGCGGGAAAAGCGACGGAGCCCGGAUCAUGGCGGGCCGUUACAAGCCGCGCGGGUCGGACAAUCCCAUUGGCUGCCAAAACCGUCAGGCCCAAAGAAAUCUUAUAACGGCCUAUUCCAAUUGCUUUCCAUAGUAGAGUACUUAAAUUGUCACCAUUAUCACACAGGGUAAUGAUAUUAUUCGAGUGGAGUAGAAUGUUAUUCUAUUAUUUAAAUAUCAAAUUUUACAUAAAUAUUUUUUUAAAAAAUUAAUAUAUAUAAUAUUUAUUUUAUUAUUUUAUUUAUUUUUUAUUUUUAUUUUUUAUAUGUACUUACAGAAUCUAGCAUCAUUAAAAAUUAACAAUUUCAAAUUAAAAUAAUAAAAUAAUUUUAAUGCAUAAAUAUGUAAAAAAAUAUUCAUAAAACGGUAGAAAACAAGAAAUUAAUUUUAAAAUUUUAUUUUAUUUUUAAUUAAAAUAAAUAUAAUUUUGUAUUAGAGAUAUUUGUAAAAAAUAGUAUUUUAUAAAAAUACAGAAAUAAAUAUAAUUUUUUAAAAAAAUAUUCACAUAAAUGUAAAUUAUUAAAAAGAUAUUCGUAAAAAAAAUCCUACUAAUUUAUUAGACAACCAUGAUGAAGUAGAAGCAUUUUAAAACCAUUUUUUUGAAGAUACGGAUAGAGGCCACUGAGGUGGUAACCUAGUAAGAGCGUAGCCUUACUUCCAACCAAGUUGUUACGGAUUCGAAACACACGGGCAUCGAUUAAAUUGUGGCGAACGGAUGCUUUCUGCUCGGACACGAGAUCUGAAAGAACGUAUCGUUCUUCUAGUAGCCUCGAUGGUGCCAGAUGUGACAUACUCACACAUGAUAUUCGUAUCGGAGCCCAGAAGAGUAACUAAGUCGAACCCAUGGAUGGAAAGGAUAUGAGUAAAAUCGGCCAAGUUAUUUCUGCCCGCAUCGAAAAUAUUUCUGACGGAGUGAAGGCUGCUACGCAGAAAUAAGCUUGUCUCUUCCUCCACCUUUUCCCCUUUUUUUUUUUUUUUUUCCAGAAGAAGAAAGAAGAAGAUGCGGACAGAGACAGGCAUAGACAGCCCCCACAUGACAUGACCAACCACACAAGACUCUUCUAUUUUUAUUUUUGUGGAACAAGAAUGAGGCUAGAAAUUUCUUUAAUUUUUAAUUACCGGAGUCCUAACAGGCUACUAAAAAUGGCCGUCGGGUUGAAUGGGCGGACCCGAACUUACCAUGCGGUACGAUCUCACAUGAGCUCAUUAUAAUUUUCUCCCAAAUAAAAACAAAACAUCAUGCCUUAAUUCCACAUCGCAUCGCACUUGGGAAAUAUGGUGCAGCACAAUUUGAUUAUAGAGCCGGCAUCAUGUCUUAAUUCCCCAAUUUGUCUGGAUCAAGUCAGCGGCCAUUAACCAGCUUCUCCAGUAUUGCCUUGCGAGUCUCAGAUUCCCAAUAGAAUUUUCGCAUGCAGGGGGGAGCUCCAUCCAUCUUUCCAUCGGCUUAACUCAGAGAUUCGGCUUACAAUAACAAAGGAAGGAGAAACAGUCGACAAAUUGUAGACACUAAAUUUGCUGAGGACUGCAUACAAUACAAUAGCAUAUUCAUAUGCACAAACAAAUGUCAUAGACAUCCUAUAGCAGCAAAAGAGAAUGAAAUCUGGAUGUAAGAAGAUAAAAGAAAGACCCCACAGUGCAGUGGACGCCUUGGAUGCUGUGGAUGCCUUGGACGCUUGCUCGUCAAGGAUCAUAAAAACGAGAUCUGCGCCUUGCAUAUCUGUUCAAGAUUUUGCAGAAGACAUAAAAUAUCAGCCAAAGUAACUAGAAACCAACAAAUAGAGUCAUAACCGCAGAGAAAUAGUCCAAUCCAUCAAUCUUUAUAUUACUGAUCCUUUGCCAUGCUUGAAUUCUGGAGGGGAAAAAACAAGCAUUUUGAUGGGGGGUGGGUGGGUUGAUGGAUUAAAGAUGCAUAACAGAAACUCAAUAUUUCAUCUCAAUUUGGUUUGGCAUGUGCCUCAUCAGUGAACCAAAUCAAAUUAUUGCAGUGGAAAGACUAUCUUUACAUUCCAGCACAAUCGAUGCCUAAAGUAUAACACAAAAAGAAAUUUAAACAAACCUGUAAUGGCUGGGGAUUCUUCUGGAUGCUGCACCACCACCACCACCACUGGCGGCUCCUAGAUACUCGUCAUCGAUUUCAUCAAAUCUGUAUUCUCUUAUGUCUACAGAUCUUGUAGAAGCCUCAUCCAUAUUUGAACCAUCAGAGCUUGAUCGGCGACUGCUUCUCCUUUCACUUCUUUCACUCCUUCCUGAUCUCCGUCGGUUUCUUGAAGCCCUACAGUUUGCAAACAACAUGCAGGAGGUCCACCACUUGCGUCUAUUCCGGUGGAAUUCGUCAUACUCGUCUCCUGUCUCUUCAUCUCCAUACUCGAUUACAUAGUCCCCCAAAACCACACCAUGAGGUACUUCUGCAUGUAUGGUGCUCAAGACAUCUAUGAUCUCUGAGGACUGCUGAAAAUUUUCCCAAUCUUGUUGUCUUGCAGGGUCUAUUUCAGAAGGACGUGAAUGGGGGUGUUUUAAUUGAGCGUGCUUCUGCAGCUCAAAAAAGUUGCCAGCAUAUGAACAGUAUUUCUCUUGGCAGCACCUUUUCUUCAUGUUCAGAUGCAGACGGGCCUCAUCAAGUACAAUCCAUCCUAUUACAUCUCCUCUACACAGUGGGCAGGUUGGUCGGCUGUUGGGGCUCGAUGGGAUCUCUUGAAAGCUUUCAAGAGAAGUCUCAUUAGUAGUUGAUGGAACUUUUGCCACGGCAGGCAACCCAUAUGCGCUCUUAAAACGACUGAGACAGUUUGAGUGGGUGUGAUCUGUAUCACACAUGAAUGGUCGACACCCCUGAUCAUAUGAGGAGCACUGCAGUAAAACUCCAUUGUGUGGGAAAUCCAAACAUAUUGGGCACGUCACAUCUUCCCAAUUACCAUCCAACUGUAUGUCUUCCAGGUUCAAUGAGUUCUGCUUGAUACCUCUCUUCUGACUAGUGCCUGAAGCCAUACAAAGCUUUCUUAAACAAACUUUACUGCCAUGGAAAGUACAUUUGGCUAAAAUGUGACUGGAUGAACCUGCAUACGAAAUCAAGCAAAAAGACUUGUGAAGUCUUUGAAUAGCAAGGGUCAUAAUAAGAAUUCAAUCUUUUACAUAUACAAAAUUUCAGAAAACAUUAUUAGCACUAGAGUUUACUGAUAACUAAAUGGUUGCAAUUAUAUAUCAUAUACUCAUUGGUAUGACCAUGUAUUUGAUCUACAAAGAAUGAACAUUCCAACCUGGUGAGUCACUUUAUUACCGCUUCACAAGAUGCAAAAUGAAGAAGCUGGAUAAGUGACGGUAAAACUCCUUGCUAUCAGUUGCAUGUCAAAUUUACCCAGGCUUCUUCCAUCAUGAAUCAGCUACUUGUAUGGUAUGCAUCACCAACAAAUAUCCCAGGUAGUUUUCUACUUAAUAUCAUGAUAAUUACCUACUUAAUAUUCUUACCAUAUGGCAUGAAAGGGAAGGACUGGUUCAAUGAUUUUUCAACACAAAAAACAAUCUGAGUCUGCCUGAAUUUCAUUGCAAGCUUCCAUGAAAGUGCAGCUUGAAUAAGUUUAAGGUGAGCAUGCUAUACAGUGCAAUAGUCUGAUGUUUCAUUUUCACUCGUAUACCUUUUUGUCUGUAAUAGCUGAAUUACAACCUAUACAAUAACAAUCAUCAAUAAAGUAAAAGUCAUCCUAUUUUAUUAAUUGUUAAAAUUUAGUUUAGUUAGAUUAUAUUAACUCCUGCUCACAUAUGAUACAAAAAAUUAUAAUAAUCCAUCUAAAAUAUGUUUAUUUAUGAAACACCUAUCUUAUAGUACACACCAAGUUUCCUCCGAUGAUGACUUGAUUUGUUACUAUACCACAGAUAAUGUUCAAGCACACAUCAACAUCCAAAUAUCCACUUAAUAAAAUUAUUCCUUGCGAUCAUAUUAAACACAGCAUAUAUCAUCAACUUCCAUCAGUAAGAACUUACAUGCAUUUAUCGAAUUUGAUAGUUAAAAAUCCUCUCCAACAUCUAUCAACAAUCUAUCAAGUGCAAGUUACACUUUAAUUUGAAAAAAAAAAGGAGACUUCCUCUAUUUUCUCGAUUAAUCCACCAGAUAUAUUUAUAUCAAAAACUAAAUAAAAGGAUAGUUUUCAAAUGAGUUAAAAUGUUAAAUCAUCAAACCAUAACACCAUUUAUUACUCGUAGGAAGUAAGAUGUGCCAACUGAUUUCCACAGAUAGAUGGAAUAUUCCUCAAAACUUUAAAAAAGUCUCUAAUUUCGUGAUAUUUCACUGGCCAAGUGAUUCUCCAAAUCAUUCUUAAACAAUCAAAUUGUUCACCAGCUAUUCAACUGCUCAGAAGUUACUCAUGAAAUAUUCACCACUCAUCCAUGAAACACUCCUAACAAAUUUAUGUAACAAAAGCAACCUGUUGACGUUGCAAUUAUUUUCUGAUAAAGUCUUAUUGAUAAUAAUAAUGAUGAUGAUUAAUAAGGUCACCGCCCCCCCCCCCCCCCAAAAAAGGGAGAAACAAGAAAAGCAAAGCAAAACAUACAGACACAACACACACACACACAACAAAAAAAAGUUAUUGAAGAAAGACCUUAACAAAUUAAACAAAAUCUUCAUGAAUGCAGUAGAUUAUUAGUGGCAUAUAAAAUAUCUAACUUAUCUGUAUUUAUUACUAAAUACUAAAGAUAUUACAUAAAGAUUGUCUUGUUGAGCUUCAUGGAUACAAAUAGGUGAACAAACUAACACAUAAUGCUUAAGCAGAAUUUGUUCCUUUUUUCUUAGACAAAAAUUUACUAUUUUUAAAGUUCACUUGUAAGGAUCAUUUUCAAGAUUACUACUGGAAAUGGAUGAAAUGCCAUUCAAAAAUAACUAAUUCACAACAUGGAAAAAAGAUUGUGUCAGCACUACUCCAACUAGUGAAUGAAAUAACUAAUUUUGCUGAACAGAUUCUUUACACCAUUCUUGCUGCUACGGUUUUUUUCAUCUCCAAAUUAGAGCACAAGCAUGUUUGGAACAUGCAAAAUCACACAAUACAACUUUGUAUUAUACAUGAAUAUGCUUGUGACAUAGCAUGUAACUUUCACACCACAGAGCUAUUUGAAAUAUGGGGCAUAAUUUUCAUGCACGAGUUUCCAGACAAUGAGUCUAGGGCAGCUGCCUUGGUAUUAUCCUCUUAAUUUGUCCAAAGAGCAAGUGGCUGUCUAGGACUGAUAAAUAUUAGGCGUUCGCCGUCAUGCCUAAAGUGUAGAAAGUGACUUAUAAACAUAAAGAUUGUACCCAUACUGUAACUAGUCUAUUAUUUUACCAAUAUAUUUAAUUUUAUUACAUAAUUGUUAGUUUACUGCUGCUAUUUUUAUAUAGCAUGCUACGUCUCUAUUUGGUAACAUACCAAAUAAAUUGGAAAAGUUAAGGACAGAAUUGUGAAAAGAGGAAAGGUAGGAAAAGGUGGCUAGGCUAGGCAGCAGAACAUGUUAAAGUCUUGAAGGAAGCUGAUAAUGGCAUAAGGAGACUCUGGGAUUUGAACCUUGACACAGCAAAGAACUGGUGUUUAGGCCAAGUUAUAUCAUAGUGAAGAUUCUUUAAAAAAAGGAAGUGAGGAUGUGGUUCUAUAAGGUGAUGAAGCCUUGCUGUUCCCCCUAUCAGAAAUUUAAAUUCUCUCAUUAUUUAUAUGCUUUUGAUGUGAAAUUUUUUAGUUAAAAGAGUGGAAAGGUAGAAAAAUGUCAUUAUGCAACAUUAUUUUAGGGUGACACGUGCCAUGACUGAUAACAAGUUGUACUCUCAUGCAGAAAACUACAAAUUUGGACAUAGCAUACUAGGGGAAGUUAACUACAAUCUCAACAUGAGUUCAUGCUAUACCCUUCAGAAGUUGUUUCAGAAGCACCAAGUUUCCAAGAAUCCAAGUGUUUGCAUGGCAAGCGACCUUAAGGAAAAUAACCACCUAAGAUGACCAUUUAAAGAAACCUAUGUUAAAGUAUACUUAAAUACAGACGGUAUUUACAUUCACUCAAAGUGUAAUUAUCAGUUAAUUCAAAAAGAAACGUCCAAUGCAUGUGGGAUUUCCUGAGUCCUUAAAAACAGUUCUGUUCUACCCACUAAACAUUUUGUAGCCACCAAACACUAUCAAUCAUAUUUUAUAUACCCAUGCAUCCAAGUUUCCCUUGCAAUUUGAAGUCACCAUCUGCAAUUUUGUUCCCUUCCAAUCGAUAUGAUAUUAUCACAUAGUACCUUUCAGAGGUCCCUCGAAUGUCAAGAAGUAUUCAAUUAUUUACCUGAUUAAUAAUGUCCGGUACCCUGGUACUAUGAUCACUUUAACCCUUUAAUUUCCUUCCAAUUAGUGCUCUGGAUUAUUUCAUUGCUACAGAACAAUUUUCCUUCCCCUUCCAAUAAUGUCCUCAUUCCAUCUUCUUUUAAAAAUUGCUCCGCCCUAAAUCCAUCUCCCCUUUUAGACAUUCUAAUUGUCAAUUGUCUUAUGCCCGCCAUUUAUUUUGCUGAACUUUUCUCUACCAUAUCAGAUUUCAUCUAACUUCAUGCUUCAAUUACUCCCAUUUUCCUACCUUGCCCCACCCCUGUCUUGGAAAAAUUUGCCUAUCCGCUAGCUGAUUCUUUGUUAUGAGAGGUGCCCUCAAGACAAAUUUAAACACAUCGAUUUCCCUCACUUCAAUACAAACAACCAUCUAUGCUCUUCCUUUCUUGAAAUGAUAGGCGAUAUUGCAAUCCAAACAACCAUUCUAUGCAAAUCUGCAAGCCCCAGAAACUCAACAACCUUAUCAGCAACCCUAAGUUCACACUCAUGGAUAUCCUUCCACAUCAUCUCAUUAUAUAAAAAGGACUUGCUUUAAAAAAAUUUAAAAUGACAACAUGCCAAAUAUAUCAUUGCUUCAAAUAGGCUUAAUAAAGUGACAAGGACCCUUGCUAGUUAUAAAGGGAAAAAAGGAAUGUCCUCUGUAUAGUGUAUGCACAUGAAUCACUUGGUUAAAACAUAGCUCACUGUAAAAAGCACAAUCCAGCAUGUAACAAGAAUUCAGUAACAUAGAAUAGUUAGUUCCAACUGAAAACUAUAGCAGAAAUAAUUCAUGCCAUUAGGCUUCCACACACGUGCAAGAAAAGCCGAUGCAUAAGUGCCAACAAAAUUUACGAGCAAAAGGGAGCUGUAUAAAUUAACCAACACGAGUAUAGCUUGGUCUUAAUCUAAUUCUGAUUCUUCCAUGAUGAAGUACUGUAAAAAUUAAUCAAUCACUCAGCAAGCGCUAUUUCAAACUCGAUACUUGAAGAUAUCCUUAAAUCAAAUCCAUGCAAUUUAAAAUUAGGAGCAUUGCCUAAACCACUUGACACAUAAUCUAAGUAAUUCACCUCAAUACUCCAAUUACAAAUUACUGCAAGAUAAAUCAAGACAAAACAAAAGGCAAUCCUACUUGACGAAUUCACAAACACAAGCACACAAAUCCAAAAUCGAAUCAUCAUCACAGCAUCGCCAAUCAUUCAAUUCCUCAAAUCACAAAACCAAGCCGUAAAGCCAAGGUAGCCCGCCAAGCCAAGAAAGCCCACAAAUAGCAAACAGAAUAUGAAAACCCUAGAAUCGGAAAGAAAAGAUCAAAGUCCAAACAAUUAUCACUGAUAACUUCUCAAAAAAGGAACCGAAUUAACGAAGAAAAAGCUAGAGCGAACUGAAAAAAAAUAAAAAUAUAGG